rnacentral:tRNA from 1 species
GAGGAUAUGGCUCAGAGGUAGAGCACAUGUUUACCAUGCAUGAGGUCCUGGAUUCAAGCCCCAGUACUUCCA